rnacentral:rRNA from 1 species
CAAUAGCAUAUGCUAAAGUUGUUGCAGUUAAAAGGCUCGUAGUCGAAUGUAUGGCCCUCUUUUUUGUGAACCCGCUCCACCCUCGAGUAGGGUGCGUGGCGGUGUGCACGGGUCAUUCUUCGGGAAAGCACGUCUGCCCUUGAUUGGGUUGGGGCGUGUCGACCCGAUCUAUUACUGUGAGAAAAUCAAAGUGUUCAAAGCAGGCAGCGAUGCCUGAAUGGUUCAGCAUGGAAUAAUAAGAUAAGACUUGGGUUCUUAUGUUGUUGGCUGUGGAACCAAAGUAAUGAUGGAAAGGGAUAGUUGGGGGUGCUAGUAUUCAAUGGUCAGCGGUGAAAUGCGAGGACCCAUUGAAGACUAACUUAUGCGAAAGCAUUCACCAAGGAUAUCUUCAUUGA